UAGAGUAGGUAAUUAAGCGUUUAGUGCUGUCGGGACGGGGAGUUGUCCGACAGACGAAUGAGCAUUUUGCUCGACGGUUUGAUUACCGCAUCCCGCU
rnacentral:ncRNA from 1 species